rnacentral:rRNA from 1 species
UCUGCAACUCGACUCCAUGAAGCUGGAUUCGCUAGUAAUCGCGAAUCAGAAUGUCGCGGUGAAUACGUUCCCGGGUCUUGUACACACCGCCCGUCACACCAUGGGAGUUGGCAACGCCCGAAGUCAGUGACCCAACCUUAACAGGAGGGAGCUGCCGAAGGCGGGGCUGAUAACUGGGGUGAAGUCGUAACAAGGUACC